CACCGCGAGGUGGAAUCUGAAAGAAGCCGGAGGCAAACCACUGACCUGACUGAUUAACAACAGGGGGUCAAUUUAAACGACGUUUUCGGGGGUCAAUUUAAAGGACGCUUGACAAUCCUAGGUGUAAAUGCAGCAGGUACAUGGUGGGAAAGAGU
rnacentral:ncRNA from 1 species